CAGAUAGCUCAGUUGGUAGAGCACCUGACUAGAGAUUCAGGAGGCCUGGGUUCGAAUCCCGGUCUG
rnacentral:tRNA from 1 species